rnacentral:rRNA from 1 species
CUAAGCCAUGCGAGUCUUUGUAGUAAUACAAGGCAGACGGCUCAGUAACACGUAGUCAACCUACCCUAUGGACAAGAAUAAUCUCGGGAAACUGGGCAUAAUUCUUGAUAGAUCAUAAUGCCUGGAAUGGUUUAUGGUUAAAAUGAUUCGUCGCCAUAGGACGGGACUGCGGCCUAUCAGCUUGUUGGUGAGGUAAUGGCCCACCAAGGCGAUUACAGGUACGGGCUCUGAGAGGAGAAGCCCGGAGAUGGGUACUGAGACACGGACCCAGGCCCUAUGGGGCGCAGCAGGCGAGAAAACUUUGCAAUGUGCGAAAGCACGACAAGGUUAAUCCGAGUGAUUUCUGCUAAAGAAAUCUUUUGCCAGUCAUAAAACCACUGGUGAAUAAGGGGUGGGCAAGUUCUGGUGUCAGCCGCCGCGGUAAAACCAGCACCUCAAGUGGUCAGGAUGAUUAUUGGGCCUAAAGCAUCCGUAGCCGGCUUUGUAAGUUUUCGGUUAAAUCCAUGUGCUCAACGCAUGGGCUGCCGAAAAUACUGCAUGGCUAGGGAGUGGGAGAGGUAGACGGUACUCAGUAGGAAGGGGUAAAAUCCUUUGAUCUAUUGAUGACCACCUGUGGCGAAGGCGGUCUACCAGAACACGUUCGACGGUGAGGGAUGAAAGCUGGGGGAGCAAACCGGAUUAGAUACCCGGGUAGUCCCAGCUGUAAACGAUGCAAACUCGAUGAUGCAUUGGCAUAAUAGCCAGUGCAGUGUCGCAGGGAAGCC